GAGUUUCAAAGAAUGAGAGGUGAUCUAAUUGAAACCUGCUGAAUGCUUCAAAGGAUAGACAGGAUGGAAGAAGGUAUUUACUAGUGCCUGUGAAAUAUGAAGAGUUGACAACCCAACUGCAGGAAGUGGAAAUUGUGCUAUUACAUCUUAGUUUCCAUGCAGUGAUACCAUUGAGGUUGGAGGUGCUAUGAAAGUUAAACUGUUGCACAUGGAUAAAAUGGGUAUUAAGAACAUUCAGUUGUCUUUAGAGCAUGACAGUCCUGCAAAAUAAUCGAACAAAGUUGGAGAUAUCUGUA